UAGAGGUAGAGAGAGAGCGUGGGUGGGUGGGUGAAUAGAGGUAGAGAGAGAGCGUGGGUGGGUGAAUAGAGGUAGAGAGAGAGCGUGGGUGGGUGAAUAGAGGUAGAGAGAGAGCGUGGGUGGGUGAAUAGAGGUAGAGAGAGUGCGUGGGUGGGUGAAUAGAGGUAGAGAGAGAGCGUGGGUGGGUGAAUAGAGGUAGAGAGAGAGCGUGGGUGGGUGAAUAGAGGUAGAGAGAGAGCGUGGGUGGGUGAAUAGAGGUAGAGAGAGAGCGUGGGUGGGUGAAUAGAGGUAGAGAGAGAGCGUGGGUGGGUGAAUAGAGGUAGAGAGAGAGCGUGGGUGGGUGAAUAGAGGUAGAGAGAGAGCGUGGGUGGGUGAAUAGAGGUAGAGAGAGAGCGUGGGUGGGUGAAUAGAGGUAGAGAGAGAGCGUGGGUGGGUGAAUAGAGGUAGAGAGAGAGCGUGGGUGGGUGAAUAGAGGUAGAGAGAGAGCGUGGGUGGGUGAAUAGAGGUAGAGAGAGAGCGUGGGUGGGUGAAUAGAGGUAGAGAGAGAGCGUGGGUGGGUGAAUAGAGGUAGAGAGAGAGCGUGGGUGGGUGAAUAGAGGUAGAGAGAGAGCGUGGGUGGGUGAAUAGAGGUAGAGAGAGAGCGUGGGUGGGUGAAUAGAGGUAGAGAGAGAGCGUGGGUGGGUGAAU